rnacentral:lncRNA from 1 species
GGGCAGACACACUGAAGUCGCUAGACAUUUGAGGAACACAUCCGGGGAAGAAGACACAGGUGGCUGGUCAUGGAGAGCCCGCUGGGGGAAGAGCACACAGACAGGCACCGGCAGGCCAUUGACCAGCGGGACAAGGUGGGCUCAAUGUCAUCACAAGGGUGCUUAAGAGGGAAAGAGGAAGCCAUGAGGGUCAGAGUCAAAGGAAGACUUGAAGAUACUACACUGCGGACUUUAAAGAUGAAGGAAGGGGCGAAAACCAAGAAUGUGGGAAGCCUCUAGAAGCUAGAGAAGGCAAGGAAACAAAUUUUCCACUAGAGCCUCCAGAAGGAACACAGCCCUGCUGACCCACUGUAAUGUCUGACCUCUAGAUGUGUAAGGGUAGUAAGACUGAAAGUCUCAGAAAGGCACUGUUAAAUUCUUAUUCCUCAACUAUGCAACUCAAAACUGGGGUCCUCAGCAGUGAGCGAGGGGUGAGAGAAGACACUGUAUAAACAUGGCACAUCCUCCUGGAAAGUCAACUUUACUCAAAGGUAAAUAAUUUAACAUAUUUUUCUUUUUAAAACACACAUGGAUGUAUUAUGAAGGAGAAUGCAAAUUUUGCAUGAAUUUUUAAGAAUAGGUGUGGAUUAUUCAACCACUUUCUUAUUGCAGCUUUAGAAACCCAGCUCAAACUAGCUGAAGCAGAAAAGACAUUACUGCGCCUAUAAGUUGAAACUUUGGAGGGAUAAAUUUCAGAGGUGUGGCUAGAUCCAACGGCUCUCUGGAAAACUCUGUGAAAAAAAUGCUUCCUCAAGUCCAGAAACCAGAAGCUCAGGAAAUUGUUGCUUGGUUCCUCUUGUUAGAGGCAGAGAUUAUUCAACGACCUACAGGGUAGCGUUUGAACAUUGUUACCAGGAAUCUUUACUUUGCCAUCUUCCAAGUCUGUUCUCCUCAGUAUUGGUUUCAUUUACAAGCAGGCCAUCUCUGCCCUCAUGGCAAUGAUGGUCUUUACUCCAGGCUUAAGACCCUUACUAUCUACUAUUUCCAAAGCGGAGAGAGAACUUCCCACACCUAGUGACCUGUGACACAGGAUUUUAUCCUUCGUACAGAGGGAAUUCAGUUGGCUAACAUAAUCUGCCUUCCAAUGGAGUAAGAAUGUCUGGACUCUUUCCUUCACCUACCCCCAAGACAUGGAGGCGUCUAAAAGAUAAAUAAAACUUGGCAACUGACCGAAGGAGGAAGAGGGGAUUUCAGGCAAAAUCAACGCUGUUCACUACGAGGAGACUUCAGAAAGGUUGCCUGCUUCUGGGGAGCAUAGUCCCUGAUUCCUCAAGACAUACGUUUAUUCUUUUCUUCAAUGUCUUUGCCUGCAGUCAAAACAAAACCAUUACCUUUAGCCAAGUUCACACAUUUCAGCCAAAUCCAUAUGCAUCGGAUCAGUUCUGUAGGUUAUGGGUGAGCAUGAACAUAUAAAAGAGGCACCUGCCUGUGCCUAUCUACUCCAUGGAAUUUCAAAAGGGGCCACUUAUGGAGAAUGUCUUUAGGGACAGAACCAACCACCCUGUCUUUCCUCCAACUCUCAAAGUAACUUCUGGCUUUAAUCCUCAAGUGUCUAUGCUGGAGUUUAAGAAAAAUGUUUUUCAUAGAAUUCAUGUGUAUGAUAUUGCAUGAGUUGUCCAUCUUUGUAUAUAUCUCAAGACUUGUGGUGUUAGUUAAAGAUUCAGAGCUCUGUGUCCUGAACACAGAGUAAUACCAGCAUUACUAAGGAUGAUCGUGGGAUUUUAAAAUUCCUCCCUUAGAUAGAUCUUACGAACUUAUGUUACCAAUCAACAUAAGUUAAGACAAAAAGAGCAAAUUUAGAUGUAAAACCAUCUUGGGGCCAGGUGCUGUGGCUCACGCCUGUAAUCCCAGCACUUUGGGAGGCCGAGGCGGGCGGAUCACUAGGUCAGGAGAUCGAGACCAUCUUGGCCAACACGGUGAAACCCUGUCUCUACUAAAAAUACAAAAAAAUUAGCCGGGCAUGGUGGCAGGCGCCUGUAGUCCCAGCUACUAGGGAGGCUGAGGCAGGAGAAUGGUGUGAACCCUGGAAGCGGAGCUUGCAGUGAGCCAAGAUCAUGCCACUGCACUGCAGCUUGGGCGACAGAGCGAGACUCCGUCUCAAAAAAAACCAAACCAACAAACAAACAAACAAAAAAAAACCAUCUUGGGACUUCCCUCAGCAUUUUGGGGAAAUGCUCUCUGAUUUUAAAAAAAGUACUGGAUGGCCAGAAGUGCUGUUCUUUUUUUUUUUUAAAUGUUAACAAGUCGUUUAUUUACCCAGUGUACAGGGAAAAUCAACCUAUACAUCUUGUCUUUGGUAAUUGAGACAUUACUUAGUAUCUGCAAUGUUUAGAAAUUUGCAUUGUUGACAUUUCCUGUCAUCAGGUCUUACUUGAGGUGUCUUUCUUUCUUUGUUUAUUAUACUUUAAGUUCUAGGGUACAUGUGCACAAUGUGCAGGUUUGUUACAUAUGUAUACAUGUGCAAUGUUGGUGUGCUGCACCCAUUAACUCGUCAUUUACUUUAGGUAUAUCUCCUAAUGCUAUCCCUCCCCGCUUCCCCACCCCACGACAGGCCCCGGUGUGUGAUGUUCCCCUUCCUGUGUCCAAGUGUUCUCAUUGUUCAAUUCCCACCUAUGAGUGAGAACAUGUGGUGUUUGCUUUUUUGUUCUUGUGAUAGUUUGCUGAGAAUGAUGGUUUCCAGCUUCAUCCGUGUCCCUACAAAGGACAUGAACUCAUCGUUUUUUAUGGCUGCGUAGUAUUCCAUGGUGUAUAUGUGCCACAUUUUCUUAAUCCAGUCUGUCAUUGAUGGACAUUUGGGUUGGUUGCAAGUCUUUGCUGUUGUGAAUAGUGCCGCAAUAAACAUACAUGUGCUUGUGCCUUUAUAGCAGCAUGAUUUAUAAUCCUUUGGGUAUAUACCCAGUAAUGGGAUUGCUGGGUCAAAUGGUAUUUCUAGUUCUAGAUCCCUGAGGAAUUGCCACACUGUCUUCCACAAUGGAUGAACUAGUUUACAGUCCCACCAGCAGUGUAAAAGUGUUCCUAUUUCUCCACAUCCUCUCCAGCACCUGUUGUUUCCUGACUUUUUAAUGAUUGCCAUUCUAACUGGUGUGAGAUGGAAUCUCAUUGUGGUUUUGAUUUGCAUUUCUCUGAUGGCCAGUGAUGAUGAGCAUUUUUUCAUGUGUCUGUUGUCUGUAUAAAUGUCUUCUUUUGAGAAGACAUUGAGAUCCUUUUGAGAAGGAUCUCUUCACAUCUUUCACUCACUUUGUGAUGGGGUUGUUUGUUUUUUUCGUGUAACUUUGUUUGAGUUCAUUGUAGAUUCUGGAUAUUAGCCCUUUGUCAGAUGAGUAGAUUGCAAAAAUUUUCUCCCA